rnacentral:rRNA from 1 species
UGGGGAAUAUUUCACAAAGGACGGAAGUCUGAUGCAUCAACGCCGCGUGCGAGAUGACGGCCUUCGGGUUGUAAACCGCUUUUUCUCAUCACGAAGUGUUUUGACGGUAGUGGGGGAAGAAGCACCGGCUAACUACGUGCCAGCAGCCGCGGUGAUACGUAGGGUGCGAGCGUUGUCCGGAAUUAUUGGGCGUAAAGAGCUUGUAGGCGGUUUGUCGCGUCGAUAGUGCAAACUAAGUGCUUAACGCUGAGCCUGCUGUUGAUACGGGCAGACUAGAGGAAGGUAGGGGAGAAUGGAAUUCCCGGUGGAGCGGUGGAAUGCGCAGAUAUCGGGGGAAACACCGGUGGCGAAGGCGGUUCUCUGGGCCUUUCCUGACGCUGAGAAGCGAAAGCGUGGGGAGCGAACAGG